rnacentral:tRNA from 1 species
AAUUUAAUAGUUUAUUAAAACAAUAGUUUGUGGAACUAUAAUAAUCAAAAUUA